GAUGAACGCUGGCGGCAGGCCUAACACAUGCAAGUCGAGCGAGAAAGCACUUCGGUGUGAGUAGAGCGGCGGACGGGUGAGUAACGCGUAGGAAUCUACCUGGUAGUGGGGGACAACUCGGGGAAACUCGAGCUAAUACCGCAUACGCCCUUCGGGGGAAAGCGGGGGAUCUUCGGACCUCGCGCUAUUGGAUGAGCCUGCGUCGGAUUAGCUUGUUGGUGAGGUAAAGGCUCACCAAGGCGACGAUCCGUAGCUGGUCUGAGAGGAUGAUCAGCCACACUGGGACUGAGACACGGCCCAGACUCCUACGGGAGGCAGCAGUGGGGAAUAUUGCGCAAUGGGGGCAACCCUGACGCAGCCAUGCCGCGUGUGUGAAGAAGGCCCUAGGGUUGUAAAGCACUUUCAAUAGGGAGAAAAGACCCACGGUUAAUACCCGUGGGAGUUGAUGUUACCUAUAGAAGAAGCACCGGCUAACUCCGUG
rnacentral:rRNA from 1 species